UACGUAGGCAGCGAGCGUUGUUCGGAGUUACUGGGCGUAAAGGGUGUGUAGGCGGUUGUUUAAGUUUGGUGUGAAAUCUCCCGGCUCAACUGGGGAGGGUCACGCGAUACUGUUCGACUCGAAGGCAGGAGAGGGAAGCGGAAUUCCCGGUGUAGUGGUGAAAUGCGUAGAUAUCGGGAGGAACACCAGUGGCGAAGGCGGCUUCCUGGCCUGUUCUUGACGCUGAGGCGCGAAAGCUAGGGUAGCAAACGGG
rnacentral:rRNA from 1 species